GGUUGCAGCAGUAAAAAUACUUACCAAAACAUGAAUAUUAAAUUAACUCUUGGAAUAUUAAAUUAAUAUUAAAUUAUUAACCCUAUUAUGGCACAUAGGGACACAUAGGGCCUAUUUCACAGGGACUGAGUUCUGAAAAGUGAUAAAAUGUGUUUCUCUAUUUUUUGGCACAUGUUUACAGUAUCAAAAUAUAUUUAAUAAGAUAAUUUUUAUUAAUAUCCACAUGUAAAUAACAGCAUAUUGCUUGAUAUAACAAUAGUUUGUUUAUGAUAGUGUCAAACAAAGGGACGUAACUCGUGAAUUACCGUCGGCCCCGCUUCGUCAGAAAUAUCGACACAUCUAACUGGCACAUUUGCGUAUCUUAGCAUAUCAACUGGCACAAAUUUGACACAUCAUAGUCCAAGUUAUGUUACAUAACAUAAUUUAAAUUCAGCAUAGCUUCCCGAGAAGUUAAGAAAGAAAAUUACGAUUUUAAUUUUCUGUGACCAAUUUUUUUCGUCAACACCUUGACUUUGAAGACACAUUUUGAGAGAAAAAAAUGAGUUUAAUCCAUAAUUGAGUUGAGUAAUAUAUUUCUUAUAUACUCAAGAAUGUUCACUAAAAAGGAAAUUAGUUUUAAUUCAUGCAAAAAACUACAAAUUCCAAAAAACGAGCUUCACUUUUUUUGGUAAAAAAAUGCCCAUAUAUGGUAAUCACAUGACGUCCAUUGUUGCUUUAAGAAAUGGGGUCAAACCGGGGUCAGCUUUCCGACUG
rnacentral:lncRNA from 1 species